CCAAGAAGAUUGAAAUUCAGGAAACUGAGCCAGUAUGAAGGAUUGAUCUUCCCAAGUGGCUUCCUCCUCAGGCAGGUUGAGCCAUUUGAUGAGACCCUGAAGUUCAAGCACCUGCUGAGAAUCCCCAGAAAUGGUUCUUGUCUUAAGUUCUUAGGAGCAAUGAUGAUGCGGUCCUCUUGUUGGGAAGGUAAAGUUUGCACAAUUAUUGCACCAUCACCAUUCUUCUUCUUCAUGAAAAAAUAGAUGACUGGUGGCUGAAUCAGGCAACUGAAGCUUGUAGGCCGCUUUCCCUAUCUUAGAAACAAUCUGA
rnacentral:misc_RNA from 1 species